rnacentral:lncRNA from 1 species
CAGCAAAGAGUGGCCCGUUCAGCUUUUACGCAGCAGGCACUGGCAAACUCCGUCAAGGAAUUACUGACGCAACCUCAGUGACCCAUGUGCUCUUCGCUCUCGCUGCUUUUACCCCCGUCGCGACUGAUCGUCGCCCAUCACUCGCUCUGCGUAGUUCCCCACUGCGAGGAGUUUGCCUGUCGCGAUGUGAUCGAGCUCCAGCGUCGUCGUCGUCGUCGUUGUGGUCGCGAUGCUAUGCGAGGCGCUAGAAUUGAGCUCCUCCUUCUCCUCGCAAUCAAGCCAAUUGGGUGCCGGGUUAGCCGAGAUCAGUUCGGG